rnacentral:rRNA from 1 species
CCUACGGGGGGCAGCAGUGGGGAAUAUUGGGCAAUGGGCGCAAGCCUGACCCAGCAAUGCCGCGUGAAGGAAGAAGGCUUUCGGGUUGUAAACUUCUUUGACAGGGGAAGAGCAGAUGACGGUACCUUGAAAACAAGCCACGGCUAACGACGUGCCAGCAGCCGCGGUAAUACGUAGGUGGCAAGCGUUGUCCGGGUUUACUGGGUGUAAAGGGCGUGUAGCCGGGAAGGCAAGUCAGAUGUGAAAUCCGGGGGCUCAACCUCCGAAUUGCAUUUGAAACUGUUUUUCUUGAGUACUGGAGAGGCAGACGGAAUUCCUUGUGUAGCGGUGAAAUGCGUAGAUAUAAGGAGGAACACCAGUGGCGAAGGCGGUCUGCUGGACAGCAACUGACGGUGAGGCGCGAAAGCGUGGGAAGCAAACAGGAUUAGAUACCCGGGUAGUC